rnacentral:tRNA from 1 species
CCCUGGCUGUCCAGUGGUCAGGACUCAGCGCUUUCACUGUUGUGGCCAGGGUUCAACCUCUGGUCUGGGA